UGUAUGGGGGUUUCCUUGCCGGGAAAGUGUCAGCCAUCCGGAAAAGCCAUCGGGAAAAAAGGCGGGUUAUAGUUCGCUUGUCGGAAAGUUGCCGCUUGCUUGUUAAGCCGAUAUUUAUUUGACCGGACACACAUUCAUAAAUACCAUUUAUUACUGGCAGUUGGAAACAUUACUUCGCAUGUUGCAAACUCGAAGGGUUUAUUUCGCCGGGCAUCAACUGGGCAAUGGCAUUUAUUUCACGUGUUGUCUUCGUAACCCCUGUACACUGCAGGUGCAGGCCAGUUCAUCAUUUCCUGAUGUAACAAUUAAGAAGCACGGAGUAGGGAUUUAGCUCGUAUUGUUUUUUGUUUAGCUCAAUUUGAAGCAAGCCCUUGCAUGGUGUUCUCACAGCAUACAUUUCUUCGAAAAGCUCAAACAGAUUGAAGAAGGUACAUACAGUACGCUCAAGCCCUUUACCAGACUCUAUACGUCGCCAGCUUCAUCGACAACUACCGACAGGAGCUCGCUACAUACCCUGCUUUGACUACAGGUACACAACAAGUACAAGCAAUAUACAAUAUUACUAGGAUUCAUGCUUGAGGAAAUACUUUUUGAACACAUAUCUUUGGCUAUAGACUCACUAUUUCACCGUUCAAAACCCCAUUCCUCA